CAGCAGCACACUGUGGUUUGUA
rnacentral:miRNA from 13 species